rnacentral:rRNA from 1 species
CCGUCAAUUCCUUUGAGUUUUAAUCUUGCGACCGUACUCCCCAGGCGGUCAACUUCACGCGUUAGCUACGUUACUAAGGAAAUGAAUCCCCAACAACUAGUUGACAUCGUUUAGGGCGUGGACUACCAGGGUAUCUAAUCCUGUUUGCUCCCCACGCUUUCGUGCAUGAGCGUCAGUGUUAUCCCAGGGGGCUGCCUUCGCCAUCGGUAUUCCUCCACAUCUCUACGCAUUUCACUGCUACACGUGGAAUUCUACCCCCCUCUGACACACUCUAGCCGUGCAGUCACCAAUGCAAUUCCCAGGUUAAGCCCGGGGAUUUCACAUCGGUCUUGCACAACCGCCUGCGCACGCUUUACGCCCAGUAAUUCCGAUUAACGCUUGGACCCUACGUAUUACCGCGGCUGCUGGCACGUAGUUAGCCGGUCCUUAUUCUUCCGGUACCGUCAUCCACACCCGGUAUUAUCAGGUGCGAUUUCUUCCCGGACAAAAGUGCUUUACAACCCGAAGGCCUUCUUCACACACGCGGCAUUGCUGGAUCAGGGUUGCCCCCAUUGUCCAAAAUUCCCCACUGCUGCCUCCCGUAGGAGUCUGGGCCGUGUCUCAGUCCCAGUGUGGCUGAUCGUCCUCUCAGACCAGCUACUGAUCGUCGCCUUGGUAGGCCUUUACCCCACCAACUAGCUAAUCAGACAUCGGCCGCUCCUAUAGCAUGAGGCCUUGCGGUCCCCCACUUUCACCCUCAGGUCGUAUGCGGUAUUAGCUAGUCUUUCGACUAGUUAUCCCCCACUACAGGGCACGUUCCGAUGUAUUACUCACCCGUUCGCCACUCGCCACCAGGAUUGCUCCCGUGCUGCCGUUCGACUUGCAUGUGUAAGGCAUGCCGCCAGCGUUCAAUCUGAGCNAUGAUCAAACUCUA